rnacentral:tRNA from 1 species
UCCCUGAUGGUCCAGUGGUUAGGACUCAACACUUUCAAGCUGUGAGCCUGGGUUUCAUCCUGGUUGGGGAA